rnacentral:lncRNA from 1 species
CAGUUGAGCUGACCAAGGGGAGGGGAACUGGACUUGGAGUCACUCUCUCUCUGGAGGUUGAAAACCUGGCUGAAAGACCCUGGUGGGGCUGACUUGGUUUUGGGGUUCUCUGGCUUUGGACAGUUGAAGUUGACAAGAAGGAGAAAUUUGGCUUUUGAGUUGGUGGUCUAUUUGAGAAUUGAGCUGGCCAGGAGAAACUGAGAGUCUUUGAACUUUGUUUUCUCUCUGGGGUUAAGCUGAGAGAUCUUGCUGAUUUUAUGAAGAAAAGAAUAAUUUUGGUUUUCAUUGAUCUGGGCUUCAAAAAUGGAACCUCCAGAAAGAAUUCACCUGGAAGGACACUGCAGGGUGAGCAGGCAGCAGGGAUAAUUGCACACUGUUUUUCUAAGCUUAUUUUAAUCUCACAACCCAGGGAAGAUGUUUGA